GUUAUCUUUAGUGAAGGUACCGUGAGCUGCAGCGAGAGGUUGUGGGGUGUGUAGUGCGAAGGCAGUUGGCAAUGGCGUGCUCAUGUUGCUGCUCUUUCUUAAGCGAUGGAGGGAGACAAUCUUUCGUUUCCUGUGAGCUUUGGCUUGCCAAGGUUCCAUAGUUCUUGUUCUGAAUGCAAGGGACAGCAAAGGAAGAUUUAAGGAGGGACUCUGAGCAUCUGCAGAGUGCAUUUCUGUGGUGGCUAACUUUUGAGAGCAUGGUCAACAAAGUGGGUUUUAGGCUGCAGUUCUGUGCACGUUUACCUGAGACUUCCACAGGACUUCCUGCUUUUAAAAACAGACUUUAUUUCUAAGUUUCUUCAGAGCAUAUACAUCAGAUUAAGCCACUGUGCGCUUCUCUUCUUUAUAACAGCCUCAUCAUCAUAAUGACAUAGCACAGGUGGUGUAAAAGAUCACCAGACAGAAUUGUCAUUACCUAUGGCUGGGUGGCGCUGUGGGUUAAACCACAGAGCCUAGGACUUGCCGAUCAGAAGGUCAGCGGUUCGAAUCCCCGUGACGGGGUGAGCUCCUGUUGCUCCUGACAACCUAGCAGUUCGAAAGCACGUCAAAGUGCAAGUAGAUAAAUAGGUACUGCUUUCACGGGAAGGUAAACAGCGUUUCCGUGCGCUGCUCUGGUUCGCCCCUCUGGUUCGCCAGAAACGGCUUAGUCAUGCUGGCCAUGUGACCCAGAAUCUGUACGCCACCUCCCUCGGCCAAUAAAGCGAGAUGAGCGCUGCAACCCCAGAGUCGGCCACGACUGGACCUAAUGGUCAGGGGACCCUUUACCUUUACCUUUAUGGCUGUGUAUUUUGUUGUGUGGAGGUUUGUUUGUUUUUAAACAGGGGAAUGUUCCAUCAUGCAAAUCUCCUACAGUCUGAAGUGAAGUCCAGAGGCUUGGGUUUGCUGGCAUAUAAAUUAACUCUUAUGUGAGAGUCCUCCGGUCCAUGCAACCCUGCAUAUAAUGGGAGCCUGUGAUUUGUCCAAUUCUGGAUAGUGAGUGACACUGACUAGCCUCAUCGCGAACGACACACAUUAUCUGUCAUCUGAGGCAGUCUUAAAUUGUCUUUUAUUAUUUAGUUUUCCAUGUGUAUCCUUGUACCACAACACCCUUCUAAGGUAGGUUGCCAUACAUUCCUGUCUUAAAGUGUACAAAGGCAGUUCCAUCCAAAUGCCUGCAGUCCCAGGCAUAAGACUCCCCAUCUCUCUCCAGUCAGCCUUGUCUUUACACUAAUCUGACCUGCAAACGAAGCUUGCUUCUCAUGCUGACUUGGCUACCUGUGCUACUAAAUUUUCCCCUGAAAGGGGCCUUGGCUAUUUCUUCCCUGAUUUUAUGACGAUGGAAUACCACAUUCUGAGCUGAAGGAGAUUUUAAAGAAGCCAAGUGCAGGCAAAAAUCCAAACAUUUAUCAUGGCACUCAGGACCAUUAAACCUCAGAAAGGGCCUCCCUAUAAUAUCAUGAUUAUUCUAGUUCUACAAAAUCCUUAUAGUCAGGACAGAUGGCUGACCAGGGAGUAGAACCUCAGGGCUCCAGGCUACUCAGGAAAUCCUUCAAGGAGGAAUUUAAACACACACACCAGAUAUCUGUUUUUCAGACUGCAGUCAAUUCCCCCUUUCUUCAUUCCACAAAUGAAUGGAGCAAAAGGGCCCAUUUGUUUGUACAGAGCAGAGGAAGGGGCCUGUAACUGGAAAAAUCAUAUAAAGGGAGAGACAGUUUCUCCCUUAACCCAUCCCUAUUGAUCUAAGGAUCCUGGUGCUGUAGGUGUCCCUCUGAGUUCCUCUGCAAAGGGCGACAACGACAGCAAUAUUUAUCUCCCACCUUUUUUCUCCAAGGAUCUUAAAGGGACAUACAGUGGUACCUUGGUUUGCAUGCGUCUUGGUCUGCAUACGUUUUGGAUUGCAAACACGUCAAACCCGUGUCCCGGUUUGCAACCUUUCUUUUUUAUUACAACCCAUUUUUUUUUGGAUUACGAACACAUAUUUUUUUUUGAGGCCCCAUUGGCGAAAGCGCGCCUUGGGUUACAACCUGUUUUGGUUUACAGAUGGAUCUCCAGAAUGGAUUAUGGUUGUAAACCAAGGUACCACUGUACAUGAUUCUUCCCUUCCCCACAACAACUCUGGGGGGAAGAUUAGACUGAGAGGCAGUAUUUGACCCCAAGGUCACCCAGUGAGCUUCCUUCAUGGUCAAGUGGUAACUGGAACUCUCCUCUCCCAGGUCCUAGUCUGAUACCCUAACUGCUGUACCACACUACAAGAUCAGGAAAACCUUGAGGGGACGGGGAAGCAUAAUUUGCCUCCCCUUGCAUAGACCACGAUGCCUAUACAGUGGUGCCUCGCAAGACGAAAUUAAUUCAUUCUGCGAGUUUUUUCGUCUUGCGAGUUUUUUCGUCUUGCGAAGCAUGGUUUCCCAAAGUCUUCAAAAUCACCAAAGUCUUCAAAAACCUCAAAAAAGGCUACCACACCGCGUGCUAUGAGUUGCUCCUCGAAGUUACCCUGGGUAUUAACGGUUUUAAGAAAAAGGAAACAAACUUGCAAGACGUUUUCGUUUUUUUCGUUUUUCGUCUUGCGAAGCAAGCCCAUAGGGAAAUUCGUCUUGCAAAGCAACUAAAAAAACGAAAAACUCUUUCGUCUUGCGAGUUUUUCGUCUGGCGAGGCAUUCGUCUUGCAAGGUACCACUGUAUAGGUGAUUAUUCUCACCUGGGGCAGCAAAAUCAUUUCAGACAGCCCAACUGCUAAAAUGGAAGACUCACACAGGCUCACAGGCAAAAUGCAAGCCAAAAUAGCUCUCACUGACAGUGGAUGUAGACACUACCCUUAUGCUGAUUUCACACAUCUGUACAGCAGAUGUGUAGCACAGAUGUGAUCAACACAGCUGCAGAGUGAAAAUAGGUGUCAUUUAGAUUGUGGGACCCAUUCGAGUGUACAUCCUCAACCUCUCUUCUUCAGUUUAAAGGCUUACCAGGCCUGACCACCCUCUUUCUUUGUUGCUGUAACAGUCAUGGUUUGGUCUCUCUCCCUCUCUCUCUCUCUCUCUCUCUCUCUCUCUCUCUCUGUGUGUGUGUGUGUUUUACAAGAAAAGGAAGGGGAAUUGAGAGGUUUGUUAAAUUUGAAAAUUAUAGUCGCCUAAAAGCCAUGGGAAAUCUUGCUGGUGACCACUAAUGAGAAAUAAUUGUCUCAAUGCUAAGGGCCAACCUAAUCCAGUAUGAUAUAUAUGUGUGUGGCAAUGUACGAAAUGAAUCAUUAGCAGCUGUUGAUGAAAUUGUCCCACCAUGACACUGAUAUAUUCUUCCACCCCAUUUAAUUAAAUUAAAACAGAAGAUCAAAGGCUAAAUAAAUAAGACUUGACAGGACCAAGCACUAUAAAAGAAACAUCAUGUUAUGGCUGUUUGCAUUAAUUUCUGUUGUGCACAUUAUGGAUGUAAUAUGAAGCUUUCCAUCUCUUACAAGUCACUGCCCACGUUAUUCAAACACAAGUUCUGUUGGCAUGGGAUGACCUAGAGAUGAUCAGUGGUUAUUUUCUGCAAGUCUGCAUGCCAAUUAAACCUUAGAUUGGCUUCAUACGGGCAGCUCCAAGCCCUGUCCAGUCUUUGCCCUUCUUCUGUGAAUGGAAUUGCAACUGAUGUUCCACACUUUGAGUGGUAUUGCGGUUUUGUUGUAGUUUCCUCUGCUACAUCUCAUUCACACUGGUGGGCAUGACUGCUGGCAUUAGGAGGGACAUUUCAUCUGAGGAUGCCAUUUUGAAACCUGCUUGCAAAACAGUUUUUUUUAAAAAAAAUUGCACUAAAACACCACUCAAGUUUCAGUGCUUACCUUUAACAUUCAAUAGUAGACCAAAAAAUAACACUAGAAACCUUAUUUAAAAUGGUGGUAAAAUGGUGCCAACUGGAAAUACAAGAAAGGCAGUGGAGGUUUUUUGAAUCAUGCUUUAAAAUUUGCAGUAGAACACAUUCAGUCCCAGCCAACAUGGCCAAUGGUCAAGGAUGAUGAGAAUGAUAGUCCAUCAUAUGGAAGUUGCCAGGUUGGCUACCUCUGGAAUAUUAAAAGAUCAUAGAAUUGUAGAGUUGGAAAGGACCUUGAGGAUUGUCUAGUCCAGCGGUUCUCAACCUGUGGGUCCCCAGAUGUAGCUGGACUACAACUCCCAUCAUCCCUGAGCUCUGGCCUUGCUAGCUAGGGGUAAUGGGAGUUGUAGUUCAUCAACAUCUGGGGACCCACAGGUUGAGAAAGGCUGGACUCUAGUCCAUCCCCUUGCAAUGCAGGUUUAUGUGGCUGUUCUAUACAGAACCUGCAACCUCAGUGUUAUCAGCACCAUGCUCUAACCAACUGAGCUAUAUAGGUGGGAAAGUAUAAUGUAAAAGAUCAGUGGAAGUACUCCCAAAAAGGCACCUACAGGAAAGGUAAUUAUGCAGGAGUAUGUUGACUGGUUCAACAUCUUGAUAUAUCGUUGCACAUAUCAAAACGAUGCCUUUUUGAGAAGAUGGGGAUGUAGUUCUAAGGCUAUACUCACGUGGAAAUAUUGUACUGCCAUUUUCUUCUUUCUCAAAAAGUCCCCCCCCCCCCGCUACUGAGAAAAGAUGGAGAAAGCACAGGAAAAGCACCAGAGGGCAAUAAUUUGAGAUCACAUAGAUCAUGCAAUACCUCAGUGGCCAAUCCUGCAAGAGGUCCCAUGUUCAAAAGAUUCCCUGGUGUAUCUAGGAACAGUUGGUAAAAACUCCUGUCUGAAAACCAAGAGAACCACGGCCAUUCAGGGUCAACAACACCAGACUAGAUGAACCAAAGUUCUGACUCCAUAUAAGGCAGUUUCCUAUGUAUAAAGUGACUGAAUGAAAGGUAGUUAUUCCACAGAAAACACCAAGGAAACACCCGUAGAUGUAUGGAAAUGGUCUAGAGUAACUGGGUGUACUGAUGGAUGAAGUCACUUUGGCUCAAUUCAAAAUGUGCACAGCAAUCAUGAAUUUCUCAGGGAGGAUUCUGGGGUGACCUCAACCAUUUCCUGAGAGAGACAUAUGGGAACGGCAGCAAACACACCCCAUAUCACCACCUUCUUAUUUUUAGAAACACUUUACAGUUGGGGCAGCACAGCAAACAAAUCAAGUAUGAGGUUAUGGAUACUUUAUUAUUUUUAAUUUAAACCUAUUUCCCCCUUUAUAGCAAAAUGCUGCUGGUUCCCAAAUAAAUACCAUUCAGCAUAGGCAAACUCCAUUUUAUUUCUCUAGUCACCAUGAUGCUAUGAUUUCAGUGAGUUUAAAAUGUGAAACUGCAUGUGCUUGGCAUGGUUAUUUUCUUUCUUUUUAAGUUGUAAAGUGGUGUCAGAAGAGAAGAGCCAGCUGGCUGCAGCUGGCAUUAAAACAACUACAACCCUACAAGUUACAGUAGAUGCAAAAUAACACAUCUGACAGUCACUUCUACUUUGGCAGUAUGAUUCCAGAAAGCUGCUGCCAUUCAUAUUGUCAACAGUGCCAGUCAAUGCAUCCAAGCAGCCUGACUGAGCACAAGGUAGCGUCAUAUGUUUUGUGAGUCUGUUUUUAGCUUCCAUUUUCCUCUGUCCUCUGGUGCUUGACUGUUUUAUUGUGCCACUGUUUCAUAUUUUUCAGUCUUAUGAUUAUUGAUGGCAUUGCUUUUGCUGAUUUUUAUUAUUGUUGGAAGAUGGAGAAAAAGAUAUCUCUCUCUCUCCCUCAAAUGGGCUGGAGUCCUCAUAGCCAUGAAGAUAGGCAUGAAAGCGUUUGGACAUUGCCUAGUAAGUCACAGGACUCAGAUGUAGGGCUGACAGUGAUGAGCUAUAAUGAGGACAGAAAUCACCUGCCAGAAUUUUAAGAGGUUCAGCCUGGUGGAUUUUCCUGACAUUUUGAAAGAACUAGAGUUGCUGCCCAUUCACUUCUAGGUGCAGUUUUAAGGUGCUAGGUAGCACAUACCUUUAAAGUCCUAAAUUUUUGCCAUUUUAUUAUGUUUUUAUAUUUUGCUGGAAGCUGCUAGUAGUUGUUGUCGUCGUCGUAGUAGUAGUACUAGUAGUAGUAGUGUUAUUAUUAUUUUCCGAAGACAGCCAUCACAGUCUAAUCAGGAGCCACCAGCACUGAUGCCUGCUCUGGAUACCUCAUCCUAGGCUGAGUCUGUGAGCCAUCAUUUAAAUUUACCAGAAUGCCCUGGAGUAACGUUGCACUGGGUCCUCUGCAGCAUUGCAUGAACUUAAAAUGCAAAGCUCCCAGCCAUCCUUAGAGCACCCUUACUGUCACCAUCAUUUAUAGAGGACUGUGUCAGGGCCCCCUUGGACUUGGAGCUGGUCCAGUACCAGGCUCUCAUUACUGUCUGCUUACCUCCUGCUAGGCUCAUGGCUGGCCAUUGCUAUGCUGCUUUAUGACUAGCGAAUAGCUGCAAUAAAUUCUGAACUGCAAGAACUUUCAGAACCCACUGCAGGGAGCAAAACGGAUACACUUUUGCCAGCGGGAGUCUGGACCUGUACAGUUUGCCUUAAGAAUCUCUAGCAAAACAGUGAAUUCAAGCUGAUGUCUGAGGUUGCCUCUGAGAAAAGUGCUUCUACUUCGAUAGAAGCCAGAAAUGAUUUCUGUCUGGGAAAAGAGAAAUACCCCAGACACAGCCAAUAUAUACUUCUGGAAGAGAUGAAGGAUAAAAUCAGAGAAGCAUCUGGUUGUCAUCAUACACCAGCUUUUCUGGAGUAGGGUUUUUUUUUUUACAAGGCAAAAUUCCAUUCUUCUGGACCCACUUGUAUUCUCCAGCUUUUUAGGGAGUGGAGCCACAUCCCCCCUCCCUCCCUCCACACACACAAAAAUUUAAAAUACCACAGUAGCACAGCCAGGGUGGCCAAAAGCCUAUUUUCCAUAAUGCCUUUCAGGGAAGACUUAUUGAAGCGAUAUUUUCUUCAACAACAACAACCCGGAAUUCCCAAACACACAAAUAAAAUCCUGCUUUCCACAAAUCUCACAUAUACUUUUUGAAACCUGGAAAAGACCAUGCUUAGUUGCGUGUUGGAUGAAAAUCAUUCGGUGACAGACUAUUGAUAUAUGGCCCUGUGCUGUUAUAUUACUACAGAAUGCCUGUGUGGAACGGCAUAUUGCAAAGACCAUGCUGCAGUGAAUCUCUGGAUACUUUAC
rnacentral:lncRNA from 1 species